rnacentral:pre_miRNA from 1 species
GUAAUUUAAAUUUGUAUGCAGUUGGAACAGCGCCCCUAGCGGAAAAUGUAGGCAAACGUUCCAACUCUAUACAAAUUUGAUUUA